UUUCCGGUUGAUCCUGCCGGACCUGACUGCUAUCGGAUUGAUACUAAGCCAUGCGAGUCAUUGUAGCAAUACAAGGCAGACGGCUCAGUAACGCGUAGUCAAUCUACCCUAUGGACGGGGAUAACCUCGGGAAACUGAGAAUAAUACCCGACAGAACAUUAUGCCUGGAAUGGCUUAUGUUUUAAAUGAUUUAUCGCCGUAGGAUGGGACUGCGGCCUAUCAGUUUGUUGGUGAGGUAAUGGCCCACCAAGACUAUUACAGGUACGGGCUCCGAGAGGAGUGGCCCGGAGAUGGGUACUGAGACACGGACCCAGGCCCUAUGGGGCGCAGCAUGCGAGAAAACUUCGCAAUGUGCGAAAGCACAACAAGGUUAAUCCGAGUGGUUUCUGCUAAAGAAACCUUUUGUUAGUCCUAGAAACACUGACGAAUAAGGCGUGGGCAAGUUUUGGUGUCAGCCGCCGCGGUAAAACCAGCACCUCAAGUGGUCAGGAUGAUUAUUGGGCCUAAAGCAUCCGUAGCUUGCUUUGUAAGUUCUCGGUUAAAUGCAUGCGCUUAACGUAUGGGCUGCCGGUAAUACUGCAAAACUAGGGAGUGGGAGAGGUAGACGGUACUCGGUAGGAAGGGGUAAAAUCCUCUGAUCUAUUGAUGACCACCUGUGGCGAAGGCGGUUUACCAGAACACGUCCGACGGUGAGGGAAGAAAGCUGGGGGAGCAAACCGGAUUAGAUACCCGGGUAGUCCCAGCUGUAAACUAUGCAAACUCAGUGAUGCAUUGGCUUGUGGCCAAUGCAGUGCUGCAGGGAAGCCGUUAAGUUUGCCGCCUGGGAAGUACGUACGCAAGUAUGAAACUUAAAGGAAUUGGCGGGAAGGGCGAAUUC
rnacentral:rRNA from 1 species